CCUGCUGGCACACCGUCUGUCCUUCUGCACUGUAGAAGUUGAUGUUGAAUUUGCAGUUUCUCAUGUUCUGCAGCAACGAAUGCAGCUUCUUGGUGUUGCUUUUCUUCA